GCUAAAGAUACAAGUGCAGAGGAGAAAGGAGUUCUCUGGUAGUGAAGGUCAAACAGAUAUUACUGGCAAUGGAGUGUACAGUACCAUAGAAGAAGAAACAAAAAAUAUGUUUGCAGGUCUUGUGUGCAAGAUGUCAAGUGUGUGGUGUCCUGUGUGGCAUAGAACAACACGGGGUCAGUGAUUAAUAUCACGUUUGGGGCAGCAGAACGUCAGACUGGUGUGGCCACAGGGGAGCUGUGGCUGUGUGGAACAUCAAGCCAUUAACUGCAGCGACUUUGAUGCCAACUAGCUGGGGCACUCCAUCUUCCAUGCUGAAUCUGGCCUUCCACUUUUCCAAGCAGGCACUCUCUGCUGCUGACACUUUCAAUGGAAAAAUCCUUGUUAAUGACCUGUCCUGCACGGAGGAGGUCACCCCCUUGGCCAUGGGGAAGUGUUGGGGAAGGGGGAGACGGUGGGGUGAGAACACUGGCAUGGGUGGAGCUGGGAGGGGUCAGAGAAGAUGGGACACCCACCACCCCCACCCCCAUGCUCCUCACAGCUGCCACCACCACCACCACUGAUCAAGUUCUGGUGUGGUCACUGAGCCUCACCAAGCAGCAGCUGACCCUCAAGACUGGGUACAUGGUGAGGACACAGGAUGUCACCAGAGGCAUGAGAACCCAAGUGGGGAAGGAUGUGAUAUGAACUUCUGCACAUGAUGAUGACUGAGCAGUGUCUCACAAGACUGAAUGUGACUUGGACGGGAACUGACUGAGUGACCAAGACUGACUGCUCGUGACCGGAACUGAGUGGAACUGAGCUGGAACUGGAUGGAACUGAGACUCUCGUGACUGACUCUCAGAUGGGGAUGGAGGACUAGCUACCAUGCGGGCUAUAUUUAUCUGAGCUAAGUGGAUCAUGUUAGAGUUUUUGGGGUGAAGAAAUGACCAAUGAAAUGCCAGGAAAUAAGGUGAAAGAGCCAAUGGGAGAGGUCAUUAUUUUAGCCAGUGACCAAGAAGGAAAGACUCAGAAGUGAAUGCAGGGGUUUUCCCUAAGGACUGGAAGUGGAUGUGAAAUUCCCUAGAGAGGUAGAGAAGGAGGAGAAAGGUUAAGAAUAGAAUAGACUGGCUGGCCAUGGGCACAUGUGGAAUGAAUAUGUGAACACAUCCCAUGUGUGAUGGAUAUAUGAAUGAUUAAUAUACAUAUAAAUAAUAAUAAUUGUUAAGAUUGAUUCAUUUGCAGCUGUAAAGAUAUACACCACUUUGUUAUAUGUGACCCAAGUACUUCACUGGAAAUUUUUUUUCUCUCUCCCUGGGUGCACUUAUAUAAUACCUUCUUUAAAUCCUGGUUUUCCACUAUCACAGGACUAUUCUUCAAUUCUAAUUCUUUCAGCUUUUCAUUCAUAAUAUCCAAUUAAAUUUUCUUUAGAAGUGAACCUGAUAAAACUCCUUACAUCAUCAGUUGUAAAUAAACACUGACUGCUGGCUCUCCAUAAAUUUUCCUACAAACACUCAUUGGCCACUGCACUGUUUAACUCAGUCAACACAUCACUGUUCUAAAAACAGGACAACACCUAGCACAGCUCUUUACCCAUUGCCAACCACCAGGUCACCGGGACUGCAUGUUAACUUGGCAGAAGUUGGAGCAACUCCACACAUGUCCAUCUGGUCUGGCAUCCUCUGUCAUGAGUCUGCUAGGUGUUGGGGGAUGCACUGGGGAGGGUCAGGUUGUGGCAGCUUCCCCACUAGGCUGUCUCCCCACUCUAGCUGAGCAGUCCUCUCUACAGAGCCUCCUAAAUAUCCACAAGGAUUAAGACCAACAGACCACAACACCAGCAGACCAGCAUCUGUCAUUUGUAUCUAUACCAAGCCAGUGAUUCCAGUAAAAGUUGAAUUACCUGUAAUUUACAAAAAGUAGGAAGUCUUGUGCAGUGAGGCCAUGGGAAGAGAGGAGGCAUGCAGUUAGCAAGAUCAGAAGAGCAGUUAAUGUGACGAUAGCAAAAGAUACAACAUUGCAGUGUACAUGCUGUACCUUCACUACUUCCAAGCAGGAGAAUGAUUCAGAAAGUUCAAAAUACUGCAGACAGAAGAGAGGUGAGGACACAGUGGCACCAGCUUUUGCAAGACUUGCUCCAUGUUUGUGGUAAAUCACCUGACCAUGAUUCCUCCCCUACUCAAACCAAUGGUGCUGGAGGAACUCAAUAAUACAAGCUUCAGUGUUCUGAAAAGGUCUUCAAGACUUUCCCCCAGUAAUGAGCUACACAGUGUUCAGUACACAGAAAAAUAUGUUCCCUUUGACUCAUCAGUGGUGAGUAACAAGAUAAGGAAACAGAACAUAUUUACAACUUAUUGUCAGGGGUAGUAGUUGAUAUCACUGGGUUGGUCAGAUGAUGGCUUUCUGAUUUUGUUGGCCAUUGGUUUCCAUGUAUAGUUUGCUAUGGUAAUGUAGUUGUGUUUGAAAUGCUGGCAAUGUGAUUCCAUAUUGUGGUGCAUGGAUUUGCUAAUCUAACUUACUUUAUUGUGAUGUAAGUCUGUCAUUUUCCUGGAUUGAUGGCUAAGGUACAUAUUUCACCAGGCGAUGGGAAAUAGCACUGGAAGCAACUCCUUUAGUGUAGCGUCCAGCCUGGGAACAAUUGUAGGUAAAUAAUCGGAACACAAGCUAAUUGCCACUGAAAAUACUCAGUGAAUUGAAAUAUUUCACCAUAAAGAAAUAUAAAUUAUUACAUGUAAAACAUGCAUGGAAUUCACACAGUGCCACCCCUAUCAUUGCACUGGUAAAAUGCAACAAGGUUACGUCUGUCUUCACACUCAUUGGCAGUUGAAAAAGGACGCUGGAAUCGGCGAGGAAGGGGUCGUCUUCCCUUGGAGGAAAGAUUGUGUUCAUGUGGUAUGAUUCAAACGGAGAUACAUGUUCUUGAAAAUUGUCCUAUUUCCAGUCACGUUAGAGAAAGAAAUAGGUAAUAUAACGACAGUUAGCAAUUUAUUUGUUGAUAGAUCUGAUUAUAUAAAUGUUUGUAGAAUUGUACAUGAAGUAUUGUCUUUAUAUUAAUGUUGGAUGUGUGUUUGCAUAAAAAAGAAAAAGGGGUUUGUUUGGAUAAAUUCUUGUUUUUUUUAUAUAUAAACGUAUAGAAUUACAAUUUAGUUUUUACGCAUGUCUUUUAUGGCUUUUAAAUAUUUUCAAUGAAUUUUUUGUCUAAUUAUUUAUAUUCUGCUGUUUUAUUUUUAUAAUGUGUCUUGUUUUUAUUUGGUUGCUAUGUCAGGUUUUUAUGAGUUGUGUUUUGUUUUUAUGCAACAGAUUUUAUUUUCAAUGAUAUAUUUUCAAUAUCGUAGUUGCAAAAAUUUCCUCUGUAUAUUUGUAAUUUGGACUAUUUUUUAAUGUGUUUAUAUGUGUGUACUUCCCUGUGGUCAAUAAAUCAAUCAAUCAAU